CACUCACACACAAGCACCAUGCACAUGCACACAACACACACAUACACACCAUAAACACACACAAUGCACACACCACAAACACGCAUACAUACACACUUUUACACACACACACCAUACAUACACCCACACCACACACAACAUACACACACCACAAACACAUACACACACGCACACCACACAUAUACACCACACAUAUACACAUAUACCACACACACAUGCACCAUGCACACACAUACAGACAACAUACACAUACACAUCACAGAUAUGCA
rnacentral:lncRNA from 10 species